rnacentral:rRNA from 1 species
GACGUAGGGCGCGAGCGUUGUCCGGAUUUAUUGGGCGUAAAGAGCUCGUAGGCGGCUUGUCGCGUCGUCCGUGAAAACUUGGGGCUCAACCCCAAGCUUGCGGUCGAUACGGGCAGGCUAGAGUUCGGUAGGGGAGACUGGAAUUCCUGGUGUAGCGGUGAAAUGCGCAGAUAUCAGGAGGAACACCAAUAGCGAAGGCAGCUCGCUGGGACGGUAUUGACGCUAAGGCGCGAAAGCGUGGGGAGCAAACAGG